rnacentral:rRNA from 1 species
AUUGAACGCUGGCGGCAGGCCUAACACAUGCAAGUCGAGCGGAUGAAGGGAGCUUGCUCCUGGAUUCAGCGGCGGACGGGUGAGUAAUGCCUAGGAAUCUGCCUGGUAGUGGGGGAUAACGUCCGGAAACGGGCGCUAAUACCGCAUACGUCCUGAGGGAGAAAGUGGGGGAUCUUCGGACCUCACGCUAUCAGAUGAGCCUAGGUCGGAUUAGCUAGUUGGUGGGGUAAAGGCCUACCAAGGCGACGAUCCGUAACUGGUCUGAGAGGAUGAUCAGUCACAUGGGAAGUGAGACAGGGUCCAGACUCCUACGGGAGGCAGCAGUGGGGAAUAUUGGGCAAUGGGCGAAAGGCUGAUCCAGCCAUGCCGCGUGUGUGAAGAAGGUGUUCGGAUUGUAAAGCACUUUAAGUUGGGAGGAAGGGCAGUAAGUUAAUACCUUGCUGUUUUGACGUUACCAGCAGAAUAAGCACCGGCUAACUUCGUG